CAACCUUUUUUAACCUAUGCUUAGGUGUAAUACAAUCCAUGGUAAUAAUGCGAAGCGAAGUAUUUCCCAUAAUUUAGCCAUUCUUAACUUCACGUGUUUACUCACUUAAGAACUCUUAUUAUACAUCCAAGGCUAAAACGCACACUCCCGAGUAUCUGCCAUUGUUGGCUAUCCAUCUUUGCUUGCUGAACAGACGAACUAGUAGCUUUGGAAACAAGUUAGAGAUCCACUUUCAGCCUAUGCAGCCAUGUUUUGGUUUAAGCGGGACAAGAGUCUUUGAGGAAUCUGUAAAUCUCGCUGAAAGUGAUUGCAUGCAGUCCACCAGAGACGUAUUAACUCCGUGACAAACUGGAUAACAGAUUAUGUAAUCAACAGAGAGAGGGGUGAACCGCCAUUUGACUGGAGAGCUUCACUUGUCAACCAGAGACAAGCACAAGGAAAUGAAACAGGUAGCAACAUGAACUGGGAGAAAUGAAGCAAGCAUCUCUGUCCAUCCUGUCCUGAAAUUUGGAAAAUGUCCAUCAAAGAGCAGAAGCAGAGGCAGAUCUGGAGAAAGAAAGAGACAGACAGAAAGGAGAAAGAGGCAGCUGGAGCCACUUAAGUUCAGUUCUCUCUGUGUCACACAUGUCCAUUGGUUCCAGAGUCCAUUCCCAUUACAGAGUUGUCAGUAAUCAAAUAAGGAGGUGGUUUUAAAGCUGUUUUGAGCCCAUCUUCGGCUCCCAUGCCCAGUUUUGGUGUGCCCACAGCCUCUCAUGUCCUCCUAACAAGAUCUCCAAAGCUUCCCAGAGUCAUUUUUUUCUUUUCAGUCCUUCUUCAUCUUAGAAACAAAAAAAAGUUGAUGUCUUGUUUUAAAUAUAUCUAUAUCUGUAUACAGGUACACGUUCGUUUUCACAGUGGGCAAAAGAUGACCUCUACAGCAAAACCUUGUCUUUAUCUCUCUCUUUGUAAAUGUCCAUUAAAAUCAAGUAUCCCAAUGUAAGUUGGUGGAUCCAGACAUCCACAAUAGCGUUUUGUGCCACAAUAAAAUAUACACUUAUCUGGGGCACAACUUGUAAUUUUUUUUUUCCUUUUUGUUUCAACUGCAUAAAGCUUUGGCCACAUUCAUAUAUUCAAUCAAAGUAAAAACUGCUCAGUGCUUCGGUAUCAUUUUAAUGUCUGAUCAUUAUCUUUAAAAUUUGAUUUUGUAAAUUUUAGUUAUUCAUAUUCCAGCUUUGUGGUUCAGUUCGUUUUGGUGUGUAACACAAAAAAAAAAAAAAAAGGCAAACAAGGGAACAAAAAAAUUGAAUUGAUGCUGGCUCUUAUGAAACACAAAC